rnacentral:lncRNA from 1 species
GGGUCCCCUAAACCUUGGAAGCUUUCUGAUGGUCUUAGCCGCCACUUGAGACCUCUACCACUACCCUCUAAUUUUUUCAAACUGUCAAGGGCUUUUAAAGACCCAAAGCCACUCAUGAUCGAAAUACAACCUCUGUUAGGACUUAGGAACAUCCUUGGCUAUUGGAUCUUCCCCGCUCACAUCCUCUGCUGCACGAUUAUGCAAAAUAGCACUCCUGGCC